UCAAAUAGAAAACAAUGGACC
rnacentral:miRNA from 1 species